CGCUACGGGAGGCAGCAGUGAGGAAUAUUGGUCAAUGGGCGAGAGCCUGAACCAGCCAAGUAGCGUGCAGGAUGACGGCCCUAUGGGUUGUAAACUGCUUUUGUACGGGAAUAACGUUGUGCUCGUGAGCGUAAGUGCAUGUACCGUACGAAUAAGGAUCGGCUAACUCCGUGCCAGCAGCCGCGGUAAU
rnacentral:rRNA from 1 species